rnacentral:tRNA from 1 species
GGUGCCGCUGGCCGAGCACGCCGCGGUGUUCGCGGCGCUGACCGACGCGGGUUUCACCGACCUGUGGUCGUCCGAGGUGGCCGGCACCG